CCUCCGUCGAAAAAAAAAAGUUUCCGUAUCCAACGUUUAACCGUCUGUUUUAUUUUAAAAAAUUAUAAAAAAAAAUUAAAAAGACAAGUCACACACAAAGUAUUAAUUAUGAUUUAUCAUCUAACAACAAUAAAAAUACUAAUUAUAAAAAAAUUUAUAUAAGACGGACAGUCAAACGUUGGACACGAAAACCCAUGAUUUGUUUUUUU
rfam:Oryza barthii chromosome 1, whole genome shotgun sequence.